UUUAUAUCAAAAUCAAAAUUCAAUUUAAUGCCAGCCAUCUGGAACAAAAUUGUACACUCAGAGAAGAAAAUAUUUAAAAAAUGAGACAUUCCAUUGAUUCAUACAUCUGAUGAAAUAAAAAAUUAAAUUUUUCCUGAAUGUUUAAAAUAUCUACACAAACAAAUAUUGUCUAAAUUAUAAAUGAAACUUUCAUGUUUGAGAAUUAAAAAUAGUUUGGCAAAUAGAAAAUUGCAUUCAGUUACAGAGAAAUUAAAUAAGUACAAACAAUAUGAUUAGAAAAAGUUAAGACCGAAGUGGUGGCUUAAGUCAUAGCAAGUUCUCAUUCGGACGAAAACUUCUUCGCCAGCUCUCUAUUGGACAACAGUGGGACCCCCAAGUUAA